UACGUAGGUGGCAAGCGUUGUCCGGAUUUACUGGGUGUAAAGGGCGUGUAGGCGGGAUGGUAGGUCAGAUGUGAAAUGCCCAGGCUCAACCUGGGAGCUGCAUUUGAAACCCUCAUUCUUGAGUGUCGGAGAGGGAAGUGGAAUUCCUAGUGUAGCGGUGAAAUGCGUAGAUAUUAGGAGGAACACCAGUGGCGAAGGCGACUUUCUGGACGAUAACUGACGCUGAGGCGCGAAAGCGUGGGGAGCAAACAGG
rnacentral:rRNA from 1 species